GAUGAACGCUAGCGGCAGGCCUAAUACAUGCAAGUCGAACGGGAUCUGAGGGUAGCUUGCUACCCGAUUUGAGAGUGGCGCACGGGUGCGUAACGCGUGAGCAACCUACCCAUAUCAGGGGGAUAGCCCGAAGAAAUUCGGAUUAACACCGCAUAAUAAUACGCUAACACAUGUUAAUGUAUUUAAAUAUUUAUAGGAUAUGGAUGGGCUCGCGUGACAUUAGCUAGUUGGUAAGGUAACGGCUUACCAACGCGACGAUGUCUAGGGGCGCUGGGAGAAGAAUCGCCAAAACAGGUAAUGAGAAACGGACCAGACGCCUACGGGAGGCAGCAGUAAGGAAUAUUGGUCAAUGGGCGCAAGCCUGAACCAGCCAUGCCGCGUGCAGGAUGACUGCCCUAUGGGUUGUAAACUGCUUUUGUUCGGGAAUAAACCUACUUAUGUAUAAGUAGCUGAAUGUACCUAAAGAAUAAGGAUCGGCUAACUCCGUGCCAGCCGCCGCAGUAA
rnacentral:rRNA from 1 species